rnacentral:rRNA from 1 species
CCUACGGGCGGCAGCAGUGGGGAAUAUUGCACAAUGGGCGCAAGCCUGAUGCAGCCAUGCCGCGUGUGUGAAGAAGGCCUUCGGGUUGUAAAGCACUUUCAGCGGGGAGGAAGGCGUUAAGGUUAAUAACCUUGGCGAUUGACGUUACCCGCAGAAGAAGCACCGGCUAACUCCGUGCCAGCAGCCGCGGUAAUACGGAGGGUGCAAGCGUUAAUCGGAAUUACUGGGCGUAAAGCGCACGCAGGAGGUCUGUCAAGUCGGAUGUAAAAUCCCCGGGCUCAACCUGGGAACUGCAUUCGAAACUGGCAGGCUAGAGUCUUGUAGAGGGGGGUAGAAUUCCAGGCGUAGCGGUGAAAUGCGUAGAGAUCUGGAGGAAUACCGGUGGCGAAGGCGGCCCCCUGGACAAAGACUGACGCUCAGGUGCGAAAGCGUGGGGAGCAAACAGGAUUAGAUACCCGAGUAGUC